CCACAAUGAUGGCAAUAUUUUUCGUCAACAGCAGUUCACCUAGUGAGUGUUGAGACUAUGGGUCUGAGUGA
ensembl:snoRNA SNORD56 small nucleolar RNA, C/D box 56